AACGAACGCUGGCGGCAGGCCUAACACAUGCAAGUCGAGCGAAGCCUUCGGGCUUAGCGGCGGACGGGUGAGUAACGCGUGGGAACGUGCCCUUUGGUACGGAAUAGCCCCGGAAACUGGGAGUAAUACCGUAUGUGGUCGAGAGACGAAAGAUUUAUCGCCAAAGGAUCGGCCCGCGUUGGAUUAGGUAGUUGGUGGGGUAAUGGCCUACCAAGCCGACGAUCCAUAGCUGGUUUGAGAGGAUGAUCAGCCACACUGGGACUGAGACACGGCCCAGACUCCUACGGGAGGCAGCAGUGGGGAAUCUUAGACAAUGGGGGAAACCCUGAUCUAGCCAUGCCGCGUGAGCGAUGAAGGCCUUAGGGUUGUAAAGCUCUUUCAGUGGGGAAGAUAAUGACGGUACCCACAGAAGAAGCCCCGGCUAACUCCGUGCCAGCAGCCGCAGUAACAC
rnacentral:rRNA from 1 species